UUACGGCCACAUCGCUUUAAAGCACCGCCCCUCAUCUGAUCACCGAAGUUAAGCAACGUUGAACCUUGUCAGUACCUUGAUGGGUGACCGCUUGGAAAUACCAGGUACUAU